UGGGGAAUAUUGCACAAUGGGCGAAAGCCUGAUGCAGCAACGCCGCGUGAGUGAUGAAGGCCUUCGGGUUGUAAAGCUCUGUCUUUUGGGACGAUAAUGACGGUACCAAAGGAGGAAGCCACGGCUAACUACGUGCCAGCAGCCGCGGUAAUACGUAGGUGGCAAGCGUUGUCCGGAUUUUACUGGGCGUAAAGGAUGCGUAGGCGGAUUUUUAAGUGAGAUGUGAAAUACCCGGGCUUAACUUGGGUGCUGCAUUUCAAACUGGGAAUCUAGAGUGCGGGAGAGGAGAAUUGGAAUUCCUAGUGUAGCGGUGAAAUGCGUAGAGAUUAGGAAGAACACCAGUGGCGAAGGCGAUUCUCUGGACCGUAACUGACGCUGAGGCAUGAAAGCGUGGGUAGCAAACAGGAUUAGAUACCCUGGUAGUCCACGCCGUAAACGAUGAGUACUAGGUGUAGGAGGUAUCGACCCCUUCUGUGCCGCAGUUAACACAA
rnacentral:rRNA from 1 species